GGGGGAGUAGCUCAGUCGGUCAGAGCGCCUGUCUUAUACACAGGUCGUCGGUAGUUCAAAUCCACCCUCCCCUA
rnacentral:tRNA from 1 species